CCGGCCUACAAAAAAAAUUUUAAAACUAGCUGGGAAUUGUGGUUCAAGGAGUUCAAAGUUGCAGUGAUUCAUGUUCACACCACUGCAGGAGUUCAGGGUUUCAGUGAGCCAUGUUCGCACUCCUGCAUUCCAAGCUGGGCAACAGAAUGAGACUCUUUUUAGACUAUGUUUAUUUGGAAUAAAUUCUUGUUUGUUUUAAUUUGCCAAGGUAUGUUUCAUUGUUGGUCCAUCUUAAUGCUGGUGUCUGGUUACAGGUACCAUUGUUGGAUACUGGUGACAUCAUCAUUGACGGAGGAAAUUCUGAAUAUAGGGACACCACAAGACGGUGCCGAGACCUCAAGGCCAAGGGAAUUUUAUUUGUGGGGAGCGGAGUCAGUGGUGGAGAGGAAGGGGCCCGGUAUGGCCCAUCGCUCAUGCCAGGAGGGAACAAAGAAGCGUGGCCGCACAUCAAGACCAUCUUCCAAGGCAUUGCUGCAAAAGUAGGAACUGGAGAACCCUGCUGUGACUGGGCAAGUUCUGGGCUACUCUUUAAAGCCAAUUGGCAACAUGGGCGUGUCUAAGUGAUGAAGUGCGUGGAGAAAGGCCACCGUGGUCUCCCAGGGGUUAGCUUGGUGACAUAAACGUCUCAAUCUUUGAUUGCU
rnacentral:lncRNA from 1 species